rnacentral:rRNA from 1 species
GACGAACGCUGGCGGCGUGCCUAAUACAUGCAAGUCGAACGCAGUGGGGACGGGUGAGUAACACGUGGGUAACCUCCCAUCAGAGGGGAUAACACUUGGAAACAGGUGCUAAACCGAUACUGAUGUAUGUACCCGCGGUGCAUUAGCUCGUUGGUGAGGUAACGGCUCACCAAGGCCACGCUGCAUAGCCGCGCUUAGAGGGGGAUCGGCCACACGGGGACUGAGACACGGUCCAGACUCCUAAGGGAGGCAGCAUUAGGGAAUUGUCGGCAAGGGACGAAAGUCUGACCGAGCAACGCCGCGUGAUUGAAGAAGGUUUUCGGAUCGGAAAACCCUGUUGUUAGAGAAGCGGUAUCUAACCAGAAAGCCACGUCUAACUACGUGCCAGCAGCCGCGGUAAUAC